rnacentral:rRNA from 1 species
AGUGAACGCUGGCGGUAGGCCUAACACAUGCAAGUCGAACGGCAGCACAGUAAGAGCUUGCUCUUACGGGUGGCGAGUGGCGGACGGGUGAGGAAUACAUCGGAAUCUACUUUUUCGUGGGGGAUAACGUAGGGAAACUUACGCUAAUACCGCAUACGACCUACGGGUGAAAGCAGGGGAUCUUCGGACCUUGCGCGAUUGAAUGAGCCGAUGUCGGAUUAGCUAGUUGGCGGGGUAAAGGCCCACCAAGGCGACGAUCCGUAGCUGGUCUGAGAGGAUGAGCAGCCACACUGGAACGGAGACACGGUCCAGACUCCUACGGGAGGCAGCAGUGGGGAAUAUUGGACAAUGGGCGCAAGCCUGAUCCAGCCAUACCGCGUGGGUGAAGAAGGCCUUCGGGUUGUAAAGCCCUUUUGUUGGGAAAGAAAAGCAGCAGGUUAAUACCCCGCUGUUCUGACGGUACCCAAAGAAUAAGCACCGGCUAACUUCGUG